CCUACGGGAGGCAGCAGUAAGGAAUAUUGGUCAAUGGGGGCAACCCUGAACCAGCCAUGCCGCGUGCAGGAUGACUGCCCUAUGGGUUGUAAACUGCUUUUGUUAGGGAAUAAACCCCGCUACGUGUAUCGGGCUGAAUGUACCUAAAGAAUAAGGAUCGGCUAACUCCGUGCCAGCAGCCGCGGUAAU
rnacentral:rRNA from 1 species